CAGACAUUCAGACCCGACUCUGAGAGGGAGCACAGCACAGGUCACCUGAAGGAGGAGCGGCCAGCAUGCUGCUCCCCGGCCUGCUGAGAGUGGUCCUAGCCUCCAUCUGCCUUGGGUCCAGCAUGACCCAGACGGUAACUCAAACUCAGCCUACAGUUUCUAUUCUGGAGAAGGACGAUGUAACCUUGGACUGUACAUAUGAAACCAGUAGUUACAGUUAUUAUUUGUUUUGGUACAAACAGCCACCCAGUGGGGAAAUGAUGAUCCUUAUUCGCCAGGAGUCUUUUAGUGAGCAAAAUGCAACCAAGGAUCGCUAUUCUCUGAACUUCCAAAAAACAGCUCGUUCCAUCAGCCUCACCAUCACAGCCUCCCAGCUUGGCGACUCUGCGGUGUAUUUCUGUGCUCUGAGUGAUGCCACAGUGAUGUGGGUGCCUGUGGGGGCCCCCCAGAAACCACACUUCUCAGUCUGAGGCACUUCCAAGCUGUCAGCACCUGGGCAGGAAUCUCAGAUUAGACAGCAAGAAGCAGGGGUUGUGUCAGCAGAGAUGUGGGGGAUGGCUUUAGAAGAGCAAGCAUCACUCUAAGGGAAAUGCCCUACCUGGACCAGACAAAACAGCAGAAACUGCCAUUUAUCAAAAUCUUCUGGUGCCAAGGAGAUAGCACAGAGGUAACACAAUAGAAUCCUAUGCCUGAGAUCCCAGAAUACUCAGUUCCAAGCCCCAGCAGCACCACAUGCUGGAGCAGGUCAGUACUCUGGUCUCUCUGUGUGUCACAUUUUCACAAAAAUAAACAAACCAACAGACAAAUACUUUUAUAAAUCAUCUUUAUCUUUAUUUAUCUUGAAGUUGAUCAUUUGGCAAAAGAUCUUUUAUGGCAUAUUGCACCAAAUAAAAGACUCUGGUGUGGGUGGGGAGAAUACAGGUCCAAUAAGGAUGACAGAGGACCUAGUGGGGGUUGUAUUGUUAUAUGGAAAACUGGGAAAUGUUA